UGCUCAGUAACACGUGGACAAUCUGCCCUGAAAGAGGAGGAUAAUCCCGGGAAACUGGGGGUAAUACUCCAUAGUUCGUGCUGACUGGAAUGUUAUACGAACGAAAGAUCCGUCGCUUCAGGAUGAGUCUGCGGCCGAUUAGGUAGUUGUUGGGGUAACGGCCCAACAAGCCUGUCAUCGGUACGGGUUGUGGGAGCAAGAGCCCGGAGAUGGAUUCUGAGACACGAAUCCAGGCCCUACGGGGCGCAGCAGGCGCGAAAACUUUACCAUGCGGGCAACCGUGAUAAGGAAACCCCGAGUGCCAGCACAGGCUGGCUGUCCUCCAGUGUACAAAACUGGUGAAGAAAGGGCCGGGCAAGACCGGUGCCAGCAGCCGCGGUAAUACCGGCGGCUCGAGUGGUGGCCACUAUUACUGGGCUUA
rnacentral:rRNA from 1 species